rnacentral:rRNA from 1 species
ACGUAGGGGGCGAGCGUUGUCCGGAAUGACUGGGCGUAAAGGGCGCGUAGACGGUUUUUUAAGUCUGGAGUGAAAGUCCUGCUUUCAAUGUGGGAAUUGCUUUGGAGACUGGAAGACUUGAGUGCGGAAGAGGUAAGUGGAAUUCCCAGUGUAGCGGUGAAAUGCGUAGAGAUUGGGAAGAACACCAGUGGCGAAGGCGACUUACUGGGCCGUAACUGACGUUGAGGCGCGAAAGCGUGGGGAGCGAACAG